AAUAAAUCUUUGUUAAGACUGAGAAAUACAUAGAUAAUACUUCAUAAUACAUAGAUUGAAUGGAUUCUGUGGAAAGUUGGAAGACGCUGGAUCAGAAUGCAAAUGAUGUGGUCAGACAAAAGAAGCAGAGGAAAAUCAGCACUGCCAGCCCUUAACACCAUUUCCAAACAUGAAAACUCCGUGAAGACCAUAAACUCAUCUCUGAAACCGACAACUUCUAAUUUUUUUUCUUACUGAGAAGAGAAUAUUCUGGAAUUCUUCCUACAGGCGGGCCGUCAAGCAUAGACCUAUUUCCAAACAAACAUCAUUAGUAAAGAGAAGUGGUAUAAUUUGGUGAAGUAAAAAAAAAAAAAAAGUCAAUCUUGGCCACAGAAAAAGCUCAGGUGAUGGCUCAUAUUCAUCUCUCUUCUCAAAAAUGGACUGAAAAUUAACCUCUGGAGAAGCACCAGCCGCUGUCCUGUCAGAGUUAGAAUCCACCCCUAAGUGUGCUGAAGGUUUUCACUCUUCACCACUCAUUCCUUUUACUGAGGAAAAUUCAGAAAGUUCAGUUUAGACGAAUCCUCUGCUUCCCUCUCAGUUCAAUAGCAUCAUCCAAAGAGGAAACAAAAUCUGGAAGUGUCAACAAAGGUUACUCAGUUUACCUACUUCCUUACCUACAACUUCUGGAAAGGGCCAUCCUACCUACCAUGUGACUAGAUCAGGAAUGGCCCCUUACCAAGCCGGGAACCAACUAAAUUACUCUUUCUGAACUUGAAGACAUAGACUUGCCAACAUGAUUGAGGGCAGGAGGAAAUAGAUAUGUGGAAAGUAAGCUCAGGUGCCAGGACAACCAUCUGCUACACUCUGGACCCUGAGCCUGAGUGACAACCACCUUUUUGUUUUUGACCCACUGUUUCAGAAGCAGCAUUGGGUGGCACAUGGGAUCUCUUUGAGACUCAGGAGUCACUUUGGCUCCCAGACUUGGUGUUUUCCUACCCCUUGCUGGAGAAGGCACCAUGGUAAAGCUGUCGUGAUGGUCACCCACCAAAAGUCUGUAAGGACCUCGCAAAACCAUUAUCACGUGCCUAAUUGGAGAAUAAGGAUAUCCCACAAUUGCAUGCAGACAUGUUCCCAUUUCAGUUUGUAUAAGUUUAUGUCAGUGACUAAUAGAAAAUUCAGCUGCUUUUCUGGAGAAAUGCAUUGUGUUUUGGGUUACUUUAUCUUCAGAAUCCAUUUAUUUGGCUCCCCACUCCCCCCAGAUUUUUAGUUAGAACUAAAGCUAUUGUGGACUGGAAAACAUCAAACAAAUAUAUCAUGGUUUCUUUGCAAGUUCAUUUUACAACCUGCAUACUUGAAAAUGUGCAUCGUUAGCUGAAUUUAAAUACAAUAGCGACAACAGAGAGCUUGACCAACUGGCCACACAGGAAAAGGUAUUUAUUUAAGCAAGCUUUCAAAAAUCAGUAACUAGGGUAACAGUUGAUGUGACAUUCGAUAAGCAACACACAUAAAAUGAAAAGUGUUAAUUAUCCAUAGCAAUGACUAAUGAUAAAAUAAUGAUAAAUUAUCCAUUGCUUAAAUAUCUCUAUGUGUGGGAGAAAAUAGUAUGACUCCAAGGGCAGAACCUUUCGUGAUGAACGUUCUGGCUUAUAAGUCUGCCAGGGGGUUCUGAGACUCUGAUGAAAACUGUUUGCAAAGCUGGCCCUCUCAGAGGAAGGAAGUCAGCUCUGCUGCUUUAAGGUAGUGGUUUACAAAAGCAAGGAGGUUUUAAAAUACAACAGAUAUAGCAGUGACCAUGGCCCCCACCUGUGAUAACUAAAACAAAAUACCCAGGGGGGUCAGGGUUCUCUCCUCAAGCUUCCAGCUGAUUCUAACAUGUGGCCAGAGUUGAAAGCCGUAGCUCUAGACUUGAUGACUUAUGUUUUUUAAGAGUGGACAAGGAAAUCAGGUUCCAUUUUGGGGUGGCGGCUUAAAUAUAUCCUCUAGCUUCUUCAUGCCUGGAGCAAGGGCCUUCACUGAUGAUCCUAAAUAAGAAGUGAAACUUGCAGUGAACCAGAAACCGGGAUAAAUCCUCAAGUCUGGGUUGUAGACCGGAUUGAUACAAAAACAGAAAGCCCAGCCUAAAAUUGCACAGAUGACUUGUGCUAAAGAGACAGAGGAGCACCAGACAGACUGCUCUGUCUCCAAAGAUGGCAGACCCCAGAAGCAGGAAGCUAUCAAGGACCAUCCACCUGUCAGUCCUUGGGGCCCCGCUGCUGUAGGAGGCAACAGUGAUUCAUCCUGCACUGAUGCCCUUCCAUCUGUGCUUGAGCCAAACAGCAGUAACACAGUGUCAGCCUCCACAUAGGAAUCAAGGCCAGAGAGCCCAAGUUAGACAGGUAUGUCAUGAGGAGGGGAACAGGUGCUAGACAUGAACACCCCAGAGAAAUCUCCCCUAGUGGCUUUUCCUUCUUCACUCUCCCUGAGAAUAGAUCAGAGGAAAAUGAAGACCAGCAAUCUCCCCCUGAAGAUGACACUCAUUGACAGAGACUACAAUCUAAUGGAGAAUGUCAACCCUAUAGAAGAUUCCAGAGUCAAGAUUAGUACACAGAUGAGGAAGACCAACACUCCAAAAGAUAGCAAACUCAAUCAAGUGGAUGAACUAUCACCCAAGCAAGAUAAAUAGAGCAAGCAAAGCAGGAAUUAAGAAUAUGCAUAAGUAGAUUUUUCCAAUAGAUGGGUGGGGAUAGAACAGUCACAAACCAACCAACUAGACGUCAUGGAGAUUUAAACUUGGUCCUUGUAAUAAAAAACUGAAUAAGCAGAUGAAACAGAUUUUUUUCUGAAAUUUAAUUUUACUGUAAAAAGACUAAUGUAUGCCUUAUAACCUAGGGACUAGUGAU